rnacentral:misc_RNA from 1 species
UCCAAUGAAUGGUCCAACCCAGAACACCCAAUGGUCAUGCCAUGCAUGGCUCUUGUUGUAGAUGAUGGCAGCCCCAAGGCUUCUAGCAGGGUUGAUGCCAGUGCCUGUGAUGGGGAUGGUGGCAAGAUGGACAAGGAAGACUGCAAAUCCAAUAGGGAGUGGUGCAAGGAGCGGAACAUGUGAGUCUCUAGCAUUUCUCUUGGCAUCAGUGGCGGAGAAGACGGUGUAGACG